rnacentral:rRNA from 1 species
UACGGAGGGGGCGAGCGUUAUUCGGAAUUAUUGGGCGUAAAGAGCUCGUAGGCGGCUUGGCAAGUCGGAUGUGAAAACUCCAGGCUCAACCUGGAGCCGCCAUUCGAUACUGCUAUGGCUAGAGUCCGGUAGGGGAGUGUGGAAUUCCCGGUGUAGCGGUGAAAUGCGCAGAUAUCGGGAGGAACACCGAUGGCGAAGGCAGCACUCUGGGCCGGUACUGACGCUGAGGAGCGAAAGCGUGGGGAGCAAACAGG